GAUUGAACGCUGGCGGUAUGCUUAACACAUGCAAGUCGAACGGAAACGAUACUAGCUUGCUAGUAGGCGUCGAGUGGCGGACGGGUGAGUAACGCGUAGGAAUCUGCCUGAUAGUGGGGGAUAGCCCGAAGAAAUUCGGAUUAAUACCGCAUAAUCUAUUCGUAGUAAAGUGGGGGACUUUCGAGCCUCACGCUAUCAGAUGAGCCUGCGUAAGAUUAGCUUGUUGGUAGGGUAAAAGCCUACCAAGGCGACGAUCUUUAGCUGGUCUGAGAGGAUGAUCAGCCACAUCGGGACUGAGACACGGCCCGAACUCCUACGGGAGGCAGCAGUGGGGAAUAUUGGACAAUGGGGGCAACCCUGAUCCAGCAAUACCGCGUGUGUGAAGAAGGCCUGAGGGUUGUAAAGCACUUUCAAUUGUGAAGAAAAGUUAGCGGUUAAUAACCGUUAGCCUUGACGUUAACUUUAGAAGAAGCACCGGCUAACUCCGUGCCAGCAGCCGCGGUAAUACGGAGGGUGCAAGCGUUAAUCGGAAUUACUGGGCGUAAAGCGUGCGUAGCGGUUUAUUAAGUCAGAUGUGAAAGCCCCGGGCUUAACCUGGGAACUGCAUUUGAAACUGGUCAACUAGAGUAUGGUAGAGGAAAGUGGAAUUUCUGGUGUAGCGGGUGAAAUGCGUAGAUAUCAGAAGAACAUCAAUGGGCGAAGGGCAGCUUUCUGGACCAAUACUGACGCUGAGGUACGAAAGCGUGGGUAGCAAACAGGAUUAGAUACCCUGGUAGUCCACGCCGUAAACGAUGAUAACUAGCCGUUGGGGGGAUUUACCCUUUAGUGGGCGAAGCUAACGCGUUAAGUUAUCCGCCUGGGGAGUACGGCCGCAAGGUUAAAACUCAAAGGAAUUGACGGGGACCCGCACAAGCGGUGGAGCAUGUGGUUUAAUUCGAUGCAACGCGAAGAACCUUACCUGGUCUUGACAUCCUGCGAACUUUCUAGAAAUAGAUUGGUGCCUUCGGGAACGCAGUGACAGGUGCUGCAUGGCUGUCGUCAGCUCGUGUCGUGAGAUGUUGGGUUAAGUCCCGUAACGAGCGCAACCCCUAUCCUUAUUUGCCAGCACAUCAUGGUGGGAACUAUAAGGAGACUGCCGGUGAUAAACCGGAGGAAGGCGGGGACGACGUCAAGUCAUCAUGGCCCUUACGACCAGGGCUACACACGUGCUACAAUGGGAAGGACAAAGAGCCGCGAAGCCGCGAGGUGUAGCUAAUCUCAUAAACCUUUUCGUAGUCCGGAUUGGAGUCUGCAACUCGACUCCAUGAAGUCGGAAUCGCUAGUAAUCGUAGAUCAGAAUGCUACGGUGAAUACGUUCCCGGGUCUUGUACACACCGC
rnacentral:rRNA from 1 species